CGGUUGGUAUUACAAGUGCAAAAUGUUUUACUUGCAAAUGAAAUUGAUUUGCUUACUUGUAAUUUUGUGUACAACACAUGGAAUCUUGACGGUUUUUCAUCUCUUGUGGCUAACAAUGAUCUUGCUGCCACAAACAACUAUGAAAUUUUGUGGGAAAUAUUUCAUAAUAAACUGACGAAAACAUAUUAAAAAAAAAAAACAACAACAACAACAACACUCAAGUCCGGUCAACUCAUAUGGACCUCAGUCCUUAAAACUUGUUAAAAAUACCAUGUGAUGAAAUGAGGCAUACUACAGGGUAAAACCUAAUCUAAAAUGGAAAUGGGAUUGUGGACAACAAUUCGACGAGGCAUAGAAGGUCCUUUAAGAUUUUCUCGUCUUUCAGUACCAUGGGCAAUUGAAGUUAACAUUCACCAUUAUCAGGCUAUACCGAAAAAGCUAUUUUAGAUAUAUGAUAUCUGAUUUCAAAAUAAAUAUUACGAUUGUAAAAUAAAAAUCAAAUAAUAUUUGUAACAAAACA
rnacentral:sRNA from 1 species